rnacentral:rRNA from 1 species
UUGCCAGCCGCCGCGGUAACACCGGCAGCCCAAGUGGUGGCCGCUUUUAUUGGGCCUAAAGCGUCCGUAGCCGGCCAGGUAAGUCCCUGUGUAAAUCUUCAGGCUUAACUUGAAGAAUUGCGGGGAUACUGCUUGGCUUGGGGCCGGAAGACGUGGAGGGUACUCCGGGGGUAGCGGUGAAAUGCUGUAAUCCUCGGGGGACCACCAGUGGCGAAGGCUCUCCACGAGGACGGGCCCGACGGUGAGGGACGAAAGCCAGGGGCGCGAACGGGAUUAGAUACCCCGGUAGUCCUGGCCGUAAACGCUGCAGGCUUGGUGUUGCACGCUCUACGGGGGGCGUGCAGUGCCGAAGCGAAGGCGAUAAGCCUGCCGCCUGGGAAGUACGCUCGCAAGAGUGAAACUCAAAGGAAUUGGCGG